UACGGAGGGUGCGAGCGUUGUUCGGAAUUAUUGGGCGUAAAGCGCGUGCAGGCGGUCUGGUAAGUCUGAUGUGAAAGCCCUGGGCUCAACCCGGGAAGUGCAUUGGAAACUGUCAGACUUGAAUACGGGAGAGGGCAGUGGAAUUCCUGGUGUAGGAGUGAAAUCCGUAGAUAUCAGGAGGAACACCGGUGGCGAAGGCGGCUGCCUGGACCGAUAUUGACGCUGAGACGCGAAAGCGUGGGGAGCAAACAGG
rnacentral:rRNA from 1 species